CAGACACAGACGUGCAGCUAGGCCCC
rnacentral:piRNA from 1 species